rnacentral:rRNA from 1 species
GCUCCCGGGUCGCAGCAAAGCGGGGGUAGCGACUGUUUACCAAAAACACAGGCUUCUGCUAAGUCGAAAGACGACGUAUAGGAGCUGACUCCUGCCCGGUGCCGGAAGGUUAAGGGGACUGCUCAGCGUAAGCGAAGGCAUGAACCGAAGCCCCGGUAAACGGCGGCCGUAACAAUAACGGUCCUAAGGUAGCGAAAUUCCUUGGCGGGUAAGUUCCGUCCUGCACGAAUGGAGUAACGACUUCCCCACUGUCUCCACCAGAGACUCAGCGAAAAUUGAACUCGCGGUGAAGAUACCGCGUUCCCGCGGAGGGACGGAAAGACCCCAUGAACCUUCACUGCAACUUGGCCCUGACACUCGGGAUUUAUUGCGUAGGAUAGGUGGGAGGCUUUGAACCUGGGAUUCUGGUUCCGGGGGAGCCAAUCUUGAAAUACCACCUGUGGAUUCUGGGUGUCUAACCUAGACCCGUAAAACCGGGUCAGGAACACGGUCUGGUGGGCAGUUUGACUGGGCGGUCGCCUCCCAAAAGGUAACGGAGGCGCGCGAAAGGUUCCCUCAGCCUGAUUGG